UAUUACCGCGGCUGCUGGCACGUAGUUAGCCGUGGCUUUCUGGUUAGGUACCGUCAAGGUACCGCCCUAUUCGAACGGUACUUGUUCUUCCCUAACAACAGAGCUUUACGAUCCGAAAACCUUCAUCACCACGAUUUAGAUGCACCGUCGGGACAUCGGGUUACGCCAAUGAUCCUGGCUCAGGACGAACGCUGGCGGCGUGCCUAAUACAUGCAAGUCGAGCGGACAGAUGGGAGCUUGCUCCCUGAUGUUAGCGGCGGACGGGUGAGUAACACGUGGGUAACCUGCCUGUAAGACUGGGAUAACUCCGGGAAACCGGGGCUAAUACCGGAUGGUUGUUUGAACCGCAUGGUUCAAACAUAAAAGGUGGCUUCGGCUACCACUUACAGAUGGACCCGCGGCGCAUUAGCUAGUUGGUGAGGUAACGGCUCACCAAGGCAACGAUGCGUAGCCGACCUGAGAGGGUGAUCGGCCACACUGGGACUGA
rnacentral:rRNA from 1 species